AUUGAACGCUGGCGGCAUGCUUUACACAUGCAAGUCGAACGGUAACAGGCCGCAAGGUGCUGACGAGUGGCGAACGGGUGAGUAAUGCAUCGGAACGUGCCCAGUCGUGGGGGAUAACGCAGCGAAAGCUGCGCUAAUACCGCAUACGAUCUAUGGAUGAAAGCGGGGGACCGUAAGGCCUCGCGCGAUUGGAGCGGCCGAUGUCAGAUUAGGUAGUUGGUGGGGUAAAGGCUCACCAAGCCAACGAUCUGUAGCUGGUCUGAGAGGACGACCAGCCACACUGGGACUGAGACACGGCCCAGACUCCUACGGGAGGCAGCAGUGGGGAAUUUUGGACAAUGGGCGCAAGCCUGAUCCAGCAAUGCCGCGUGCAGGAAGAAGGCCUUCGGGUUGUAAACUGCUUUUGUACGGAACGAAACGGUCCUGGUUAAUACCUGGGGCUAAUGACGGUACCGUAAGAAUAAGCACCGGCUAACUACGUGCCAGCAGCCGCCGUAAGAC
rnacentral:rRNA from 1 species